CCUGUAUCUGAUAAACAGAUGGUUGGUAUUAUAACCUAAAUAGAUUCAAAGUUUCUUGGAAGUACCACACACCUACACAGACUAUGCAGAAUUAUUUCUGCACAUGCACAGACAUCCCAAAUAGAUCAACUCUCACACAUGUGUAAACCACCUGUGAAGCACAUGGACAGCAGAGCUGAUGCUUCUUUUGAGGCAACACAUCCAGUAGCUGUAGAACAUUUUUUUAGACUAUGCCAUCUCCUGACUUCCUCCGUUGAUCAUAAUACUUUUGAUAAUGAACUAUUGAAGUAUGCGCUUUUUCUUGCUCUGGUAAUAAUCCUAGAUAUUAUCGUAGAUAGAUAGUUGUCUUACUUUGUGGUAGAUAUGCGAUCUCUACCAUGAAUUUUGCAGCACGAAUUGCAAUUCUUUGUAAUGUAUGACACAGCUUUACAAACCUCAAAACUUUUACCAAGACCUUUGUUUUUAUCUUUCUUAAUAUUUUAAUUUGCUUUUGACAGAUGUUAUUCAAACACCUGAUGUAAGUUUACCUAACUGAAGUUCUUCUAUUUCUCUUUUAGGGGUGCUAGAACUGGACAGUGGGAGAAAUAUUGUAAGCUGUGAGACUGCGGUGUCACCAUGCUUUCAUGGAAAGCCACUUAAUUUUAUGUAUGGACAGGUUUCUGAAGUAGGCUGCUCCUAUGCCAGAGCAGACCAGUGUAAUCAAAACAAGUCCUUCUUUGGAGAGUGAGGAUCUCUUCUACUACUCAAUGAUUGCACUGAGGUUAAGAAAUCAACAGAGAUUGGGCACUCAGG